ACACCGUGAGCUUUGAUGGUGACAGCAGCCUUUUUCUCAAGUCCAUUCGGAAACCAAGACAGACAUCUUCAGACAACAUGUAUCUAAAAUUUAAAACCCUGAAAAACUCUGGGAUUCUGUUUCAUGCUGAAGGACAAAAUGAGCUCAGCUUUACGGUGGAGCUACAAAAAGGGCAACUUCUUCUGCUUCUCAGAAAAGGCGGGAGUUUGGUUCCAGACAGACAUCAUCUUGUGUCCCUGGGUAGCCUCUUGGAUGACCAACACUGGCACCAUGUUGCAGUGGAGCAUCACAGCAGCCACCUCAAUUUCACUGUUGACAAAAACACGAAGUGGUUAGAGAGGCCCCCAUGGUUCACACACUGGAAGUUUGACCAGGUGAACUUUUGAAAUGUUGGUUUAGGAGAUAAGUGUUGGGUCAAACCACAAUCUUGACUUUCAAAAUUCGGGCAGUAAUUUCCAGGGCUGUCUUGAAAAUCUUUUUUACGACGGCCUUAAUGUGAUUGACCUGGCAAAGCAGAGGGACCAAAGGGGUUACUUUGAUGGGAAACGUGACGUUUUCUUGUUCUGAGCCCGUUUUGGUUGCUGUGACCUUCACUAGCCCCCAGAGUUUCCUUUGGUUACCUGGGGCCACAGAGCAGCAUUCAAAAGGGACCUUGGUGAGCUUUCAGUUUCGGACGUGGAGCCAUGAGGGGCUUCUGUUGACUUUUGAUUUGCCAAAGCGAGAAGGGACCGUAUGGCUGCACCUAAGGGAAGCCAAGGUGUAUCUUCAGAUCAACAAGGGUGGCAGGGCACCUUUAGAACUUAAAG